UACAGCUCAGUGGUAGAGUGCAUGCCUAACAUGCAUGAGGUCCUGGGUUCAAUCCCCAGUA
rnacentral:tRNA from 1 species